rnacentral:rRNA from 1 species
GUGGGGAAUCUUGCACAAUGGGGGCAACCCUGAUGCAGCGACGCCGCGUGAGCGAUGAAGCCCUUCGGGGUGUAAAGCUCUUUCGUCAGGGACGAUAAUGACGGUACCUGGAGAAGCAGCUGCGGCUAACUACGUGCCAGCAGCCGCGGUAAUACGUAGGCAGCGAGCGUUGUUCGGAGUUACUGGGCGUAAAGGGUGUGUAGGCGGUUUUCUAAGUUUGGUGUGAAAUCUCCCGGCUCAACCGGGAGGGUGCGCCGAAAACUGGGAGACUAGAGUGCGGGAUGGGAGAGUAGAAUUCCUGGUGUAGCGGUGAAAUGCGUAGAUAUCAGGAGGAAUACCGGUGGUGUAGACGGCUCUCUGGACCGCCACUGACGCUGAGACACGAAAGCGUGGGUAGCAAACAGGAUUAGAUACCCUAGUAGUCC